rnacentral:rRNA from 1 species
GACGAACGCUGGCGGCGUGCCUAAUACAUGCAAGUAGAACGCAGUUGCGAACGGGUGAGUAACGCGUAGGUAACUGCCUCAUAGCGGGGGAUAACUAUUGGAAACGAUAGCUAAUACCGCAUACUGUGAGAUGGACCUGCGUUGUAUUAGCUAGUUGGUGAGGUAAACGCUCAACAAGGCGAAGGUACAUAGCCGACCUGAGAGGGGGAUUGGCCACACUGGGAAUUGGACACGGCUCAGACUCCUACGGGAGGGAGGAGGAGGGAAUCUUCGGGAAUGGGGGGAAGGCUGACCGGGCAACGCCGCGUGAGUGAAGAAGGUUUUCGGAUCGGAAAGCUCUGUUGUUAGGGAAUCGGUAACUAACCAGAAAGGGACGGCUAACUACGUGCCAGCAGCCGCGGUAAUAC